UAGAACUAAGUGCACUCUCUCUUAACUUA
rnacentral:piRNA from 1 species